GGGGCACAAUGGGCAUUUAUCAUCCUCCCCGCCGUGUGUGUGUGAGCUGAGUGUGUGCGUGUGUGUGUAAAUCAGUGUGUUUAUUCAAAUCUCAGUACCAUGAGCGGACCGGCCCCACUCCCGAGCUCUCCCCCGGUGACACGGACGCACCGACCGGGGCUCAUUGUUGGAGGAGCCCCAGAAAAAGCCCCCAGACACGGCAGGUCGGAGGAGGAGAGGAGACGGAGCGGCAGAAGGAGUCGGAGGAGUGCGCGGCGGAGGCGGUCGGGGUUUCUCUCCGUCCUCCGUGUGACCAUCCGCGGGGAUCCAGCAUCCAGCCUCCCUCCCUCCCUCCAUCAUCAGUCGCUUUUCCGGCCGCUGGAGCAGCUUUUCCCGGUUCCAUGUCUCCCUCCUGGAUGUACCCGCGGAGGAGGAGGAACAGGAGGAGCAGGUGCAUCACGGUGCAACCUGCAGCACGUUUCCCCUUUUUCUCUGCAGGUUUGUUGAGCUGAAAAAAAGCGCUAAAGAUGGUUAGAGGCAUCUUUUUUGGAGCUUUUCUGGGGGGGAGGAGGGGGACUACAGGGUUAGAAAGGAUGGACGAGAAAGAUGCGUGUGAACAGGUGCAGAUAUGGCGGAGAGGAGUUUGGAUUUCCGGGAUUUCCCUCUUUUUUUCUGCUCCUGAACUCACCGCCUCGCAGUGAGCGCUGUUCGAGCGGAUCCUGCACAUCCUCUCGGCUCUGGGAUCGUUUCUGAUAAAUUGAGAGCUGCUAAUUAGCGGCUGUAAUUGGAUAAUAUGUCUGAUGAUGUGUUGUGUGAGUGUGAGCACGCUGCUGCUGCUCACUUCACUCUGAGCUCACAUUGAUAAAGGAGACUCUUUGGGGCCUUUUUCAAUCCUUCUCUCUCUUUCUCUCUCCUGCUUUUUGUUCGUUUGGCUCUUUCUGCGUAAAAGUUGCUUUUCUUUGUGUGUUUGAGCUCUAGCUGCUGAUUGUCCAAACGCAAUUCUUGUGAAAUCUCGAAUCCAAACCGAGAAUUGUGCCUGGACAUCUGUUGCUGGAAACUCCUGCCCUUCUCCCGGAUCAAUCUGAAUGUUCUUCUCCGCAUGUUUUCCGUUUUGGUUCAUUCGGUUCGCACAUGUCCAUCCUUUUCUCAUCCUUCAAAUUUAUGUUCUCGUGGGUUUUUCUAUUUCAGGGCCUCUUGAAGGGCCACGGUCCUUUCCUGCCGUCUUAAUUGGACUAUAAUCAGCCCUUUAAUGAACUUUAAUUCUCUAAAAUUUCCCUCCUUUCACUGAUGAAGUGAAGCAGAAAAGCUUAGACUCUCACUUUCUGUCGCUCAGUUUGCAGCAGGCCUGCAGGAAAGAGAGGCCAACCCAAAAAAGAAAGAGUGAUAAUUAAGUAUUUUACAAGCUGGGCCGUUUUUUUCUAACUUGUUGGGCUGAGACUAAGAUUUCGCAGCUCCUCUCUUUCUCCUGCAGAUAAAAAAGAAAACCUCUGUGACGGUUUAUUGUCGCUCCACUGCAGAGCCUUUGUUGCCGCCCUUUGUUGCCGUUUUGGGGAUUAUAAUUUGCAUAAUUCUUCAGGAAUGUAUCAUUUUAAUUUUGUUUAACAAACCGUGACCUUUUCCAAGGCCUUUAUCCUUUUAGACAGGAUGCCAUUACAAGCCAAUAAAGAGCAGCACGUUUGUUCUGAUCUUGAUGUUGAUGAAUAAUAAAGAAUCCAUGCAUGAUCUCUGGAAGUAUCACAUUAUUUUCCUUUUUUGCACGUCCGUCCAUCUGUCCUGCUUUCAUUUCAGCCCACAUGCAUGCAUAUUUUUCCAUUAAAAUCUUAUUUUAUUUGUGCUCUGCAAGUUGAAGAAAUACAAGAUAAAUUUAUUUAAGCAUUUUGAGCAAGAAAAUCUGCAGAUGCAAUGUUUAGCUUAAAUGAUUUUCUGAAUUUAUUUUUGGAAGAAGAAUUUCACUUUGAAUCCAAAAUAAAAUUCAUUUGUGGCUUCGAUGAAAUUUUCAGGAAGUAAAAUCUGAAUUAAGGGGGAGAGGAAAAGAUUUUGUUAACAGAGAAGCACGUGCAAAAUCAAAAGAGGCAUCAAACAGGACAAUCUAUGGUUCUUUUUUGUAAAAAUGUAAGUGUUGGAAAAAUGAGGACAAAAUUUGAGUGUCAGCGUUUGUUAAUUUUGAGGAAAAAAAUUAGUUUCUGCCUGACAAUGAUUUAAUUUUUUGUCAAAGUGAAGGUCUGCUAGGAAGGGAGAUUUAAAAAGUGUAGUCUGCGUUGAGGGAGAGUCAAAUCUUAAUUUAGUUUACAUUAAUAUAUAUAUAUAUAUAUAUAUAUAUAUAUAUAUAUAUAUAUAUAUAUAUACAUAUUAAUGUAAACUAAAUUCAGAUUUUUUAUAAACCAAAGGAUGAGAGACUUUUUAAUUUCAGUCAAAAGUUCUCCUUGGCUCUGACAUCAGUGACCAGUGACAGGAAUCUCUUCACUGUCAAUUGAACAGCAAACCAAACCCUCACUUUGACUUUGGCGCGUUGGGUUUUGAGGACAGGGGUCUGUUUGAUUUUCACACCGCAGCGUCACGGCGGCUCAGUGUGUCGGGUCUGCUCAGACUAAUUUUCUUUUGUGAUCUGCACAGCGAGGACCAGGAGCUCAGAGCAGGACAGUGGAUUAGAUAAAACACUGUGUGUGUGUGUGUGUGUGUGUGUGUGUGUGUGUGUGUGUGUGUGUGUGUGUGUGUGUGUGUGUGUGUGUGUGUGUGUGGUGCCCAGUUCAAAUCCCACCACCCAAGUUGGGGAGGAAAACUCACAGGUCCUCUGAUGACUGAGUGCCAGUGAACGCCUCGUGUCUGCAGGAUCAGUCUGCCGUUAAAAAAAAUCAAAUGCAUGAGAACAGGAAGGAAAGGAAAGGAAAGGAAUAUAUAUCAAAUAAAGAUUCUCUCAGAUUUUAUCACAUUGUUGAGACUAAACCAGAGAAAUCCCAAGAACCCUCCUCUGAAUAAAACACAGUCUUAAAUGAUCCACAUUUAAAUCACCUUCAGAGCAGAAGAUCUGAGAAAAAACGGAUCCCAGAUUUUAACUUCUACAAAUCUCAACAAAAAAGAGAAAUUAUUUUGUGGUGUAAAAAGUCCUCUACAUGGUUGUUAGGUGUCAUUUUGGUGUCAAAGUUAUAAAAGCCUUCUGCGAAAAAAAAAAAUGCUGUCAGAAAAUCUAAAUGAGCAUCAUAAGGAUAAAAAACAAGUCCUGAAAAGUGUCAAAAAUGAUGUUUGAUUCUAAAAUUCACACUUUCAGUUUGAGCUGAGAAACUUUUAUAGAACUCAAGUAUCCAAUCAGUCACCUCAGAGGAUUUUUAUGAUGAAAUGAAAACCAGGCCUUGAAAAUAAACCACAAGAUUAAUAUGAUCCUGAUUACAGGCCUGUAGGAUUGAAAUAUUUCCAAAAGGAAACACAAAAAUAAAGAAAUGUCAAGAUAAAUCUAUAAAAAAAUAGUUCACUCGGGCUCUAUCUGAGCUGCGGAAUAAUUCAUUCUGUGUGACCACUUGGCUCAAACCUGUGGCUCCCUCUGGGUGCCCUGAACCACAGAUUAAGAGACAGGCUUGAUCUGAAGUCUAAUGUUGAAUAAUUUCAAUCUUUAAACAUGCAGACAGUCCGACUUAAAGACUCAAAUGAAAAAAAGAAUUGGGAGGCAAAUGAGAUUUUGGGGACAUAUUUUGGGCACAUCUGGUGAUAAGAAUUCCAAACAGUGACCCAGUUUAAACUCUAAAUGAUUUUAAAAACUGAAGUCUAAAUAUUCCUCAUUUCUGAGAUGACAGGCUCCUGCGUCCUCCUGAUGUUGCUUUCAGGUGCUCCCUCAGCUCAGCCAAAAAGAGAAAUUGAUCAGAAUCGACAGAAAAUAUUGAUGACAAAGAAAUGUUGAGGAAACAAUUAGGAGAGCAGCGUAAUGAUUGCAGAGAUCAUUAGAGACAUUUAACCUCGCUGACGUCUGCUGAUGAGGUAUAUAGACUGAUCCACAAACCUGCUUUCCACCAAAUAUCUUAUAUUUCAUUGUAUCCCUCCUCUCUGUAAACUCAGUUUGUCUCAUAAUCUCUGUUUUUCAUGUGACAUCUGCAGAAACUAGUCAGAGCUGUGAAUCAGGUAGAAAAUCAUAGAUAAAAAGAAUCUGCAAAGUCUUAUUUUACAUUUCAGGAUUGAAGCUGCAACGCAAGAAACCAUUUUGUACUCUCUAAUGUAAAAGAAAAAUUAAAUGUUUUGGGGGGAUUACAUUUCUUUUGCAUUUUGAGAAUUUUGCAAGAUUCCCCUCAGAUUUUAUUUUUUUCUGUAGCUCAGUGAAAAUAUAUUAAUUCAGUUGGGGAGUUUGCACUAUUUUCUCAAAAUGCAAAGUAAAAAGAAGAAAAUCUUUCAACGCUGAAAGACUGACUUCAUUACUCACAUUUUAACCAGAUUUAUUCUCAACUUUAUUAAAUUCGUAUUUUUCUUUAUUUAUUUUCAUCAUGUGGAUCAUUAUUAUCUGUACACACUGCAAAAAAAAACAAACAAAAAAAAUUUUUUUUUCCUUAAACCAAAAUCUCUGCAUUUUAUAUUGCAUUGUUUGUUGCAUUUAAACGCAGGUCAGCUAAUUUAUUAUUACUCAUUUAGUGAUCAGCUGAUGAGCCAUUUAAUGAACUGAUGUCUUUUUUUAGGUUCAAACUCUGCAGCAGUUGCAUUUUUUUUUUUUUUUUGCAGCUUUGAACUGCCAAAUUUGAACACUUUGACUUUAAACUGCAGCAACAAAACCCUGUUAAUCUGAGACUAUUGCCUUUUUCUUUCCUUGCAAAAAUCUGGAUCAUACUUUGAGUAUAAGUGGAGAUUUACUGAUGUGCCAGUAUGUUUAAUAUAAUGUCUGUCUAGCUGUAUGCAAAAUAUUAUCCGUAUAGUCUGUCAGUAUUUGCAAACAAUAGUUUAAAAAUUGUGUACUGUACAAUGUCUGCAGAAUCUCUUCUGGAAAGGUGAUCCAUUGAAUAUGUGCACGCCAUGAAAACAUACAUGUGCAAACAUGUUGACUCUAUUAUUAACAAACAGCAGGCACAUUACCAAGUGCAUACUUAGAAAAAUGAAUAUUUGAUUGUUUAUGAUUCAAUCAAUUGUUGGAUGUUUUUGACUUUCCGAAUAAGAGUAACAGGUCAAUGCUCGCUCUGAGGAAACUGACAAAAAUGGUGUAUAUGUGUCAGCACCAGUCUGAGUAGUUCAAAUGAGUUUAAAAAUGUCUGUACAUCAAAAUCCAGUCUUAUGAAUCCCUGAUUGUGCCUCCAUAUUCAGAUGGUAUCAGAGUAUUCUCAGAUAUGAUGGUUAAAAACUCUGUGAUUGAAAAAAAUCCAGAACCAGUCACGCGAGUCACACUUUGUCUGCUGUGCUUUAUGUCCUUAAGUUUGAAUAUUCAGACUUAUUUAUGAUUAAAAGGCCUUAAAAUCAUCAUCGAGUCAGUUUGUGGUUCAGCUCAAGAAUAUCAAGUAAGAACAUAACAGACAAACAGAGACAGAAAUCUAAAAUCAUCCAAAACAGCUGACCUAAAUAUCCUCCCAGUCCAGAGACGUGUUUGAAAUGCAUGUUCAACUGUCUAAUGUAAAUAAAUCGUUAUGAUCACAAUGAAUGAGCUGCAUGUUAGCCUGUAUUGAAAGUUUCCUGGAUCCCUAAUACCUAGAAUCCUCUAAUCUGCCUGAAUGGAGUUAUUGCAAUGAAGAUGAGAUUUAAGUCUUCAUACAAUGAGAAUGAAGUCGAAGAAAUAUUACACAAGUAAAGUAAUUAUGUUACAAGAAAAAGAAAAAACAUAAGAUCAAAAUCAUCAUUGUUCUUUCAUCAAUAUUUAAGCACAUGAAGCUGUUUUGGAGGGAGGUUCUCAGUCUUUGUCCUGAUUGUGAAAAUCCUGUGGAGCUGAGGAGAAAAAAAGAAAAAGACUUUUAUUCUUCGUAAAAAUCUUGACCACACUUGAAGCCCUCACUCCUCAGACAGCUGACUGCUGCUCACCAUGAACCAGAACCACUUUAUUCUCACAGAACGUGAGGACUUAAUUAAUGAACUCUUAAAAAGACACUAUCUGACUAUUAAUUUUUAUUUGUAAAUAAAAACUAAUAUAAACUUUAAUAAUAACCAAAGCUCAAGUUAAAUCUCACCAGAAAGUGACGUCCUCUUCGUGACAUGAGAAUUAAAUCCCAAACCGACCUAUAAUGAUAACAAAACUUUCUCCCUUUAAACAAAUCAUUUCAGUCUUAUCAAAGAACGACUUUGUUCCUGUAACAUAUGGUCUUUUUUCCUGUUUCAAAGUAAAGUCAAUCUCGUUGAAUAAGGACUUUAUUCUCCUCACUUUAUUCUAAGAAGAAAUAAAAGAAAAACUUUAUUAAUCCCCAAAGGAAAUUUCAAUUGUCUGUUGUCUCACAUAAUAUGUCUCUAAAAUGUAUCUAUUAUUUACACAAGAGUUAUAAAGCCUGAUGGCUGUUGGUACAGUAUUUUUUUUUUUUCUCAAUCUUUAUAAACAUAUUUUUCGAACACGGUUGAAAAACAAACUCUCUCGGUGUGUUUUUGAAUUCUUCGUUGUAGAUCCCUAGACUUCUGAAACUCCUCAGACCUAAAUCCUCAUGAAGUCUUUUACAGUCAAACCACAGAGUUAAAAAAAAGGGGGACUACAGGUGCUUACUGUUGUUAGCUGCUUAGCUAACUGGUACUUCCACUUUCUUUUCAACUGAUCCCUUAUCAGUUCAGCGGUCGUCUGUCCUUUAUGUUUAUGCUUCAUGUUUAUCAUUGGUGUCUUUAUUUUCAGUGAUGAAGUCCUUAAGUAUCUUCAGGAACAGCUGAUGUCUGCAUUAUUCAGGAAUCUUUCAAUUAGACUCAAACUGUAAAGGGAGACUAUUUUGAGGUUUGAUUUAUAUUCUAAAAAUGCACCCCCCUCAGUGUAGGAGCCUGUUUUUUAACACUAAGUGAACUCUUUUUCUCCACAGGUCGUCCUAGACUCUCCUCUUCACAAAGAUCUGAGUUUAUCUCAAGGUUUUGACCUAAGAGCAGGACUCCAUCCUCUGCAGCAUUGAAAAGGCUCACAACAAGGUGUUUGCACACACUGAUGUUACGUUGAGAGACAUGGAAACAGCCUGAAUCUUCAUUUCUC